rnacentral:tRNA from 1 species
AUCUAUAUAGUAUAAAAAGUAUAUUUGACUUCCAAUCAUAAGGUCUAUAUAAAAUAGUAUAGAUA